ensembl:lncRNA novel transcript
GGGGUUGCGAACCGCCCCCGAGCCUGGUACAGGCUGGGAUUGUAGUCCUGCAGCCUUGUGGCCGAAGGGCUGGGACUGGCCAUGAGAUUACAUGUCCUAGCAUGCUCAGCCAGGCGCGCGCAGCUCUGCCCCUUCCUCCAGUGAUGCGCACAGUCCCUGAUCCCUGUGCACGCUGGGAUUGUAGUCCUGCAGCCCUGCGAUCACUUGCAGGUAACAAGAAAUUUCAGCUUCCGGCAUGAUGGGCGAAGGCCCCCACCUUCAGCCUCGCUCCUCCAUGCCUUCAGAGCUGUUCCGCCAUGCAGACGGGGAGCCUGCCUGUUCUUUAACCUCUCCUACCUGAUGGGAGAGGACAAGCUACCAGGACAGCUUGUCUCACCAAGAAAUUGUGAUACCGCAUCCCCCAACGUGCUGGCUUCCUGACUUCCAAAGUUGCGGCAAGGUAAGAAGAACUACAGAGGAAGAACCUAAUGCAGACGUUUCCCAGGAGACUUUAACUGAAGUAUCAGCAAACUGAAAGGUAACGAGAGAAUCUUGUGCCUCUGAGGGUGUCUUUCCCAUGGAUCCCUGCUCAGUUGCCUUUCACGGGCCCCCUGAUUUGCGUGAACUCCUGACCUCAGAUGAUCCGCCUGCCUUGGCCCUCCAAAGUGCUGGAAUUAUAGGCAUGAGCCACCGUGCCUGGCCUGUUCCAUGCAUUAAAAAAAAAUAAAAAAAUUAAAAAAAAUCAGUGAGAACAA